rnacentral:rRNA from 1 species
AACAGGAUUAGAUACCCUGGUAGUCCACGCUGUAAACGAUGUCGACUUGGAGGUUGUGCCCUUGAGGCGUGGCUUCCGGAGCUAACGCGUUAAGUCGACCGCCUGGGGAGUACGGCCGCAAGGUUAAAACUCAAAUGAAUUGACGGGGGCCCGCACAAGCGGUGGAGCAUGUGGUUUAAUUCGAUGCAACGCGAAGAACCUUACCUACUCUUGACAUCCAGAGAAUUUGCUAGAGAUAGCUUAGUGCCUUCGGGAACUCUGAGACAGGUGCUGCAUGGCUGUCGUCAGCUCGUGUUGUGAAAUGUUGGGUUAAGUCCCGCAACGAGCGCAACCCUUAUCCUUUGUUGCCAGCGAGUAAUGUCGGGAACUCAAAGGAGACUGCCGGUGAUAAACCGGAGGAAGGUGGGGAUGACGUCAAGUCAUCAUGGCCCUUACGAGUAGGGCUACACACGUGCUACAAUGGCAUAUACAAAGAGAAGCGAACUCGCGAGAGCAAGCGGACCUCAUAAAGUAUGUCGUAGUCCGGAUUGGAGUCUGCAACUCGACUCCAUGAAGUCGGAAUCGCUAGUAAUCGUAGAUCAGAAUGCUACGGUGAAUACGUUUCCGGGCCUUGUACACACCGCCCGUCACACCAUGGGAGUGGGUUGCAAAAGAAGUAGGUAGCUUAACCUUCGGGAGGGCGCUUACCACUUUGUGAUUCAUGACUGGGGUGAAGUCGUAACAAGGUAACC